ensembl:rRNA 5S_rRNA 5S ribosomal RNA
GUCUAUGGCCAUAGCACCCUAAAUAUGACCAAUCUUGUCUGAUCUAGGAAGCUAAGCAGGGUCGGGCCUGAUUGGUACUUGGAUGGGAGACCGCCUGGGAAUACUGGGUGCUGUAGGCU